rnacentral:lncRNA from 1 species
UACUAAGCAAAUUGUUAGAUUGUUUGUCCAUAUAUAAUACCUGACGUACGUUCAUGAAUAAGGUUAAUAACCUGAUAUGAAGAAGCCAUCUCCAAUUGGACUUGGAACAAACCUCUAAUUAAAUCAUUUAACAAUAAGAGUUACUCACACCAUGAAAAUCUUUCUUCAAUGAGGGAGCAUAAUUGCUAUAAUUCUUUAACACAUAAACUUGGUUGAGUGUUGAGUAUAACACACGAAUUAGCAGAAGAAAAUAUUUUACUAUUGGAAGUUUGUAAUGAUAUAUAUAACUGAAAAAUAAAUUAUGGAAAUUAAUCCAUGUAGGAGAUGAUGUGGUAGUGCCACAUCAUUUGGGAUAAAGUUUUGGUAUAAAUUUUUGGUGUCUUAAGCAUUUUCCUUUAUUUAAACAUAAUGAAAAAGUUUUCUUUUUCUAGGCUAAUGUAGUUUUUCUCUCAGAAAAAAAAAAAUACAAGACUGCACAACAAAAUAAAAAAGACAAAAAUGUAACAAAAAAUAUAAAAAUAAAAAAGACAAAAAGCAUAUUAACAAAACCAAAAUGACCACAUCAUCUCUAUGUAUCUCUCAUGAAACCUCAGCCACUCCCACAAUCCCUCUCUCACUAAAAGACCACCCCCAGCCACCCACACAAUCACCCCAACAAUCAUGAACUCAAAUGAAUUGGAUCGAUGAUGCUCCCAUCGAGCAAGUCGAUAGUUGAGAAGAUGAUUAGGGAGAUUCACACUCAAACAGAGGAUCAGAAUUGGAAAAUUGAUCCCUUAAGGUUUAGGGGUAAUAAUACCCAGGAGAUGAAUAAAAGUUGAGUUGAGUCGAUAGUUUCCGUAGUAUAUGAAAUUGGGUUGGUGAUGGUGAUAGCUAUUUGGUAUGGGUUUGAGCCAUGGGUAGGAGAUGAGAGAGCCAUGGAUGGAAGAUUCAAUAACUGAGGUAAAAUUAAACUUUUACUACACCAGCAUUUUUUGUCUCGUUUUUCAUUUUCGUUGACCGAGCAAUGAUUCAUUUAACUUUCCGUCUGAAACAAACGGUGCACGUGCAAACCACGUGAUCGGUUCAAAUCCAUCUAGGUGCACUGAAUCCGCUCCGUUGGAAUAUAAAUCUGCAAAUUCAAUUUUCUGGUCUAGAUUGGCUUCACGAGAAGGGGAUUGAGGACGAUGACGGAAAAUGAGUAUAGAGACGCCGUUUACAAAGUUCAGGGUAAUAAUAAUUAGAUGCUGAUGUGUAACGGUCCUCACCAUUGGAUUUUGAACUGACGGGUCAGAUUAGAAGUCAAGGAUAAACAAAGCUAAAAAUAGCCAAGAAGAGGAUCCUGGUCCCAAAAUGCAACCCCUUCUUCUAUUUCAACGUAGACAUUGAUUGAUCUGAUCCAUAUGUCAUGCCAUAUGUCACGAACUUGCUUGGAAAUGCUGGUUAUUUAGUUCCAAAAUGUAAAAUAGUCGGUACUUGUGAGGAUGGAGAUGAAAGCUGUAAGUUAGAGAAAUAUGUCAUAUAAUGUGUUCCACUGAUCGUUAAAAUCAAAAAAUUUGAAUUAUAAAACCUUUUUAAAUUUAAUGAGUUGUAAGAAAUGUAAAAAUUAUGUAAAUAUGAAUCUCAAUAAAUAAUAAAUAAAGAAAAAUCAAAGAUAAGCUUCUCUAGUUAACAUACAAAAUCAAAAUCAACAAGAUGAUGUUUUGUUUUUAUGUUUAGGGAAAAUUUUAAGAACAAUACAUGACUAAUGGUCAACUCAUAAUUUUGGUGUUUCAAGUUUCAAAACAAUCAUAACGGUACAUGAACUUGUAAUCUCAACCGAAAAUAUGUACAUACCGUUACUUUCUUCGUUAUCUUAUGUGUUUUCCUUUACACUUUGAGGGGCAAAUCUGUCACUCCUUAAUUUAACAAUAAUAAAUUAUUAAAAUCAAUAAUUAAAUUAAUAAUUAAUAAGAAGAGGGAAAUAAGAAAGGAAAAAGUAUUGUUGUCUCUAUUUUUCGUCCCCGUUCAAACCUAGCAUACACUAAAAUGGUGAUCAAGGUAGGACUGUAGAAAGAAGUUGGAAGAUGAUUUGAUUUGGUAAGUUAUGGAAGAAAGAGUUUGAAUAUAUAUCGGUGGGUAUUGAGUAAGGAAAUUUAGAGCGAGAAAGCUAUGUCCUAGUGUAGUCGGUUGUGCAUCAAACAACCUCCCAAGCCCGUAAACCAACAGGCAUUCCACCACAACCGAGGCCGCCCUGAGGUUCCGGCCCAUAAGAAGGACGGGCCAGGCCCAACCUCGGCGGUAGCAUUGGGCCGGGAACGGUUUCAGAAAGCAUAAGAAAACUGGGAGUUUGAAGUAACAGCAAAGGCAGUCGUCCCACAUCGGUUUUCAAGUAAAGACAACCCACUCUGGGCCAUAAAUAUGGCCCAACCACCAGCUUGUCAGGUAUCAUUAAUUACAUUCUACCAGCAAACAUUAACGUAAGCUUCAGAGGAGGAAAGACCAGAAACCCCCGGUCGUCCUUUGGCUUGCAGGUCAGCAGGAAGUCUGCCAGUCUCCUAUCAGACAUGUCAUAAGCUUUUGUCACCCUAUCCGGGAUCGUACAGAAACACCUAGUUUUACUUGGAUGGGGACGAGCAGAAAAUUCUUUUUUUGAUGAAUAUGAGUCUUUCAUUAAAACCAAACCCGGUAAUUUACAAAUACAACAAAUAGUAAACAAAGAAACCAGGUAAGAGAAAAACAACAAAGUGUUUGAAUAGAAAAAAAGAAAAAGAAAACAUAAUAUAAAGAAAGAGAGAAUAGAGAAAACCCGAAAUCAUCAUUUAAAAAAUGAGAAAUUACAUAAAGUUAACGGUUUUAUUGAUUACAUGUGUUAAAAAUGUGCCGGCUUUUAAACGUCAUGUAUCAUUUUGAUUGAUUUAAAACUUUGAAACACCCCGAUAAACUGCUCCGUCACCUCUAACCAAUGUGGUUUGUCACCCGGCAUUGGCGGACCCAUUCUUCGCCGGCCAGGACCACUAGACCCGCCUCCGGGCGGACCGCUUCCGCCCAUGGAGAAUGGUGACCGACGAGACUGCCGUUUAGUAUCCGAAACCGUAACAGCCAUCUCUUCGGGUAACCCGGGUAACAAACGGGUCUCGCCCGGUUUGACAUCUAACGGGUGGGCCUUCCACAGGGCAUACUCCAUGGCGGCUGAGCAAGCACCGGAGGUGAAAAAGCUGACCGCCGGAAUCUCAAACUUCUGAAAAAUCUCGAAAGUCCAGGUCAUCAUCAUUAUAUUAAUUGUCAAGAACCGCACAAAGGGGUAGGUCUGAAUCCGGACUCUCGUUUCGGGUGCCCAACUGCCAUCUGACUGUGAUUCCCGUGGUGGCUGCGAAGUGGCUGAGAACUCGGGUCCUGCGGCGGAGACGACGAAUCAGACUGUGGUGGUGCAUCAGAAAUCUCAACGAUUUCGACGAGCGGGUAUUGGCGGAGAGAUGAGGGGAUGGAGGAGGAGAGUUUGGAAGAGGAUAACCAGUACGGCUUUGAAGUUUCUGGAGGCCAAGUGCUUGCAGAGCUCCAUUAAAGGGAACAAAUGUCCCUAACCAAAGGCGGGAACAAUCCAAAUCUCAUCAUUUGCCAUAUUUGCAGAGUUGGGUUGGUGUUAGAGUGAACUAUAUAUCCAGAUAUAUCUAUAUAUAGAUAGCGCAGUGGAAGAAUGAAGAAGAAGGAAGGUAGAAGAAAGCUUAUCUAAGAUUGUAAGGAGUGGGAAUGGUUGUUAGGUAUGUGAGUGAAAGACGUGGUUGCGUGGCAACAGGGGACCGACCUAGCUGAAAUGCCGGACAUGUUAAAAUCGAAGGAAGGGGAUAGAGUGGACCGACCUCUUUGAUAUAUUUGAUGAGUGACUAAUGCAUGGUCGACAUGGAUGGUAAUCAUGCUAUUAUUUCAUUCUUCUUCUAUCUUCAUUAGCAAGAAAAUUAGAUACUUUAUUUUGUUGUUGUACGUGAUCAAGUAUGAAAAUUGUAUAACAUGUGAUGUUCCAAGAUUGAAACACACGUACAGUCUUUUUAGUUAUACAUAAAUACAUAGCAAGAAAAAGUUCUUAGUUUUUAUGUCUAAGGAAGUCUCCAAAGGCAUCUAAAGCAGCCACAGAACUAGUUGGAAAGCCAUGCUCAAACUUAGCACUAAGCUGCACAGCUCGUCGCUUCAUGUCUCCAUCACUCAGUAGUUUCUCAAUUCCUCUCGUUAUAUCCUCCUUCUUUAUUGUUUGUGACAAAUCUUCAGUAAUCAGGUACCCAAUUUUGAGAUAGCUCGCUACCAAUUUAGCGUCAGAAUGUUGGUCCCCUCUAAUCGGCCACGCCAAAAACGGGACUCCGCGCCCAAUUGCUUCCACUGUUGAGUUCCACCCACAAUGCGAAAGGAACCCUCCUGUUGAUGGAUGACUAAGUAUCAAGAGCUGUGGGGCCCACCCGUUUAUGAUCAGUCCUCGGUUUCCGACAUGUUUAUCUAGCUCGUGUGGAAAAUAGUCUUCUUCAGGUUCUGAAUGGGGUUGUGGGAGGCCAGGCGGAGGACCUCGGGGUUUUCCCGCGGUGGCUUGGACCACCCAUAUGAACGGUCGGGUAGAUUCUUCAAGUGCCUUGGCUAAUAUUGCAUACUCCUGCUUGGUCGGACCAACCUCGCUUCCGAAUGAAACGUAUAACACGGAUCCAUGUGGCUUCGUAUCUAGCCACUCAUUCACCUCGUCUUCGGUGAAAUUUGAUUUUCGAUGGGCGCGAACUUUGCUGUCGUGAAGAAUCGAACCGGUUGAUUUCCAAUACUGCUCGGGCAAGAGCGGGCCCACUCCCCAAACAGGUUUUUGAAUCUUAUUAGAGACGUAUUCAAUAAACGGAUGCUCUAGCUCAUCACACGUGUUAAUCAUCACUCCAACGGAAUGCUCGACCUCGUCUAACCAAUGUGGUGGGUCUCCGGGCUUUGGCGGACCCAUUCUUCGAGGACCAUGACCACCAGGCCCACCUGGUGGUGCUGGCCCAUGAGUAGGAAAACCCGCUCCUGGACUUCCUGGCGGUGGCCCGCCCCCACCCAUGGGGAAUGGUGGCGGCCGAGACUGCCGUUUAAUAUCUGAAACCGUCACUGCCAUCUCUUCCGGCAACCCGGGUAGCAAACGGGUCUCCCCCGGCUUGACAUCUAACGGGUGGGCCUUCCACAGGGCAUACUCCAUGGCGGCUGAGCAAGCACCGGAGGUGAAAAAGCUGACCGCCGGAAUCUUAAACUUCUGAAAGGUCUCAGAAGUCCAGCUCAUCAUGUUGUCAAGAACCGCACAAAGGGGUAGGACUGCAUCCGGACUCUCGCUUCUGGUCGAGAGGAGCUUCUCAAGCCCGACUGCCAUCUGGCCGUGGUGUCCGGGGUGGCGGUGAAGCGGCUGAGAACUAGGCUCUU